rnacentral:rRNA from 1 species
CCCCGUCCACAUCACGAAAGUGGAUUGUACUAGAAGUCUGCGCGCUAACCCGCAAGGGAGGCAGCGGCCCAAGGUAUGAUUCAUGAUUGGGGUG